GCAGAACGGGCUCCAUUGUUGG
rnacentral:siRNA from 1 species